GCACCGGGGCCGGGGGGCGGCGCUCCGGCCCGGCCCGGCCCCGCCCGAUGUCCAUGAGCGCGAACACCAUGAUCUUCAUGAUUCUGGGGGCGUCGAUCGUGAUGGCCAUCGCGUGCUUGAUGGACAUGAACGCGCUGCUGGACCGAUUCCACAACUACAUCCUCCCGCACCUGCGGGGCGAGGACCGCGUCUGCCACUGCAACUGUGGCCGGCACCACAUCCACUACGUGAUCCCAUACGACGGGGACCAGUCGGUGGUGGACGCCUCUGAGAACUACUUUGUGACGGACAAUGUGACCAAGCAGGAGAUCGACCUUAUGCUGGGGCUACUGCUGGGCUUCUGCAUCAGCUGGUUCCUGGUGUGGAUGGAUGGCGUCCUACACUGCGCUGUGCGCGCCUGGAGGGCAGGUCGGCGCUAUGAUGGCUCGUGGACCUGGCUGCCCAAGCUGUGCAGCCUGCGGGAGCUGGGCCGGCGGCCACACAGGCCCUUCGAGGAGCCUACAGGGAACAUGGUGCACGUGAAGCAGAAGCUCUACCACAACGGGCACCCCAGCCCACGGCACCUGUGAGCGCACGGGACUCGGGGCCGCUGUGCAUAUGUAAAGGGACCUCGUGGAUGCCCAGCUGGCAAGACAGGACUGCGGCCUCAGGCCCAGGGUAUGCUGGGCUCUGGCCACCUGGUCUGUGGCCGAUGGGCAAGUCCAGUGGAAGGAGGACCCAGCAACAACAUGGCCACUGCCAACUAGGGAAGAAUCCUCACCAGGACCUGACCAUGCUGAUGCUGACCUUUGGACUUCAGCCUCCUAAAUUGUGGAAACACAAUUUCCAGGUGUUUAAGCAGCCCACUUUUACUGUGCCAAAUUCCCUGUUCUGCACUUACUUAUGGAAACAGACCUGGUUCCUGAGAGGACAGAUCAGAGUCGACUAGCCACAAAUGGCUGAAACCUUCAAUGUAAGGCAUUUGUUACAGCAGCUAAGCCAGCUCAUUCUGACUAACACUGUCUGCCUGUACCUAGGCUACAAAGUCCAAACUUAAGUAGGUAUAAUAAAGUACUACUAAGUGGUUAA